AUUGAACGCUGGCGGCAGGCUUAACACAUGCAAGUCGAACGAGUGGCGGACGGGUGAGUAAUGCUUGGGAAUCUGGCUUAUGGAGGGGGAUAACUACGGGAAACUGUCGCUAAUACCGCGUACCAUAGGAUGAGCCCAAGUGGGAUUAGGUAGUUGGUGGGGUAAUGGCCUACCAAGGCGACGAUCCCUAGCUGGUCUGAGAGGAUGACCAGCCACACUGGGACUGAGACACGGCCCAGACUCCUACGGGAGGCAGCAGUGGGGAAUAUUGCGCAAUGGGGGCAACCUGAUGCAGCCAUGCCGCGUGAAUGAAGAAGGCCUUCGGGUUGUAAAGUACUUUCGGUGACGAGGCGUUAAUCGCAGAAGAAGCACCGGCUAACUCCGUGCCAGCCGCCGCGGUAAUAC
rnacentral:rRNA from 1 species